AUGUUUUUGUGGUUGAUUUACAACGGUGGUUUUUCAGACUGCAGGUCUCGAUAGAGCAAGAACU
rnacentral:tRNA from 1 species